GAAAUCAAGUGCGCCCUCCAAAUCCUUCAUGGCGCUUUCAUCAAUCUUGGUGGCUCCUUUGAGCAUGACCGGAUACUACAAUUCAAGAAUUAAAACAGGAUAACAAUCAACACUAAAACAACAAAAAGGUGGAAAAAUGAAAACAACCGGAAACCCCCACUACGGACGUGGUAUUUUCCUCAAGCUCUAUCGUUGAAUAAUUGGUAGUCGGAAAAUAAAUGCCAGACGGAAAAAUUUGUAUUCAAGAGUGAUUGUAAGUAUUUUGCGAAAGAUAAACAUUUUAUUAAUAAUAAUAGAGAUUUUUCAAAAAUGGAAUGCUGGUAUCAUGUUGGAAUGCAAAAUUAUGCAGACUCCAACUUGGCCAGAGCUCCUUGAGCCCAUUGACCAAACAUCUCGGCUCCUUUUUGGUUCAAUUCUUGAUAGUCUGGAAUUUCAGCUUUGCAUGUCUCCAGC